GGGUUUGAUUACAGGCUCAGAUUGAACGCUGGCGGAUGCUUUACACAUGCAAGUCGAACGGCAGCACGGACUUCGGUCUGGUGGCGAGUGGCGAACGGGUGAGUAAUGUAUCGGAACGCCUAGUAGCGGGGAUAACUACGCGAAAGCGUAGCUAAUACCGCAUACGCCCUUCGGGGAAAGCGGGGACCUUCGGGCCCCUGCACUAUUAGAGCGGCCGAUAUCGGAUUAGCUAGUUGCGGGUAACGGCUCACCAAGGCGACGAUCCGUAGCUGGUUUGAGAGGACGACCAGCCACACUGGGACUGAGACACGCCCCAGACUCCUACGGAGGCAGCAGUGGGGAAUUUUGGACAAUGGGGGAACCCUGAUCCAGCCAUCCCGCGUGUGCGAUGAAGGCCUUCGGGUUGUAAAGCACUUUUUUGGCAGGAGAAACGGCACGGGAUAAUACCCCGUGCAACUGACGGUACCUGCAGAAUAAGCACCGGCUAACUACGUGCCAGCAGCCGCGGUAAUACGUAGGGUGCAAGCGUUAAUCGGAAUUACUGGGCGUAAAGCGUGCGCAGGCGGUUCGGAAAGAAAGAUGUGAAAUCCCAGAGCUUAACUUUGGAACUGCAUUUUUGUUCACCGAGCUAGGAGUGUGUUGAGGAGGUGGAAUUCCGCGUGUAGCAGUGAAAUGCGUAGAUAUGCGGAGGAACACCGAUGGCGAAGGCAGCCUCCUGGGAUAACACUGACGCUCAUGCACGAAAGCGUGAGCAAACAGGAUUAGAUACCCUGGUAGUCCACGCCCCUAAACGAUGUCAACUAUUGUUGGGGCCUUCUGGCCUUGGUAGCGCAGCUAACGUGAAGUUGACCGCCUGGGGAGUACGGUCGCAAGAUUAAAACUCAAAGGAAUUGACGGGGACUGCACAAGCGGUGGAUGAUGUGGAUUAAUUCGAUGCAACGCGAAAACCUGUAUCUUGACAUGUCUGGAAUCCCGAAGAGAUUUGGGAGUGCUCGCAAGAGAACCGGAACACAGGUGCUGCAUGGCUGUCGUCAGCUCGUGUCGUGAGAUGUUGGGUUAAGUCCCGCAACGAGCGCAACCCUGUCAUUAGUUGCGCGCUACGAAAGGGCACUCUAAUGAGACUGCCGGUGACAAACCGGAGGAAGGUGGGGAUGACGUCAAGUCCCUCAUGGCUCUUAUGGGUAGGGUCAACAUCGUCAUACAAUGGUCGGGACAGAGGGUCGCCAACCCGCGAGGGGGAGCCAAUCCCAGAAACCCGAUCGUAGUCCGGAUCGCAGUCUGCAACUCGACUGGCGUGAAGUCGGAAUCGCUAGUAAUCGCGGAUCAGCAUGUCGCGGUGAAUACGUUCCCGGGUCUUGUACACACCGCCCGUCACACCAUGGGAGUGGGCUCUUGUAAUUUCAGAAGUAGUUAGCCCAACCGUAAGGAGGGCGAUUACCACGGUAGGAUUCAUGACUGGGGUGAAGUCGUAACAAGGUAA
rnacentral:rRNA from 1 species